rnacentral:lncRNA from 1 species
UUAAUUCUUAAAUGGGUCGCCUUAUGUUUCCAUAAAAGUUUUGUGGUUUGUAGGAUAAUACAUGGGAGUAUCCGAUGGCCCAUAUGUCUAUAGACAUUUCGAGUGGUACCCUCAAUAAAUAUGUGGUACCAUCUUCCAUCCAUUGUUUCCCACCAUAUAAGACUGAACACUAUGUCCUUCCUACAUAUGUUCCUUUCAUGGUUCACCAUGAUCUUUUUAGAUCAUGAAAAUAUAAAAGGUCACCAGCUACAGUUUGGAAUAAAUAUUGUGUAUUACUCAUAACAAAUAUAAGCAAAAUUUUGUAAGAAAAAAAACAUACCUAGAUUGUCGCAAGAGUUAACAC